rnacentral:rRNA from 1 species
UACGUAGGGUGCAAGCGUUAAUCGGAAUUACUGGGCGUAAAGCGUGCGCAGGCGGUUUUGUAAGUCAGGCGUGAAAGCCCCGGGCUCAACCUGGGAAUUGCGCUUGAUACUGCGGCGCUGGAAGGUGGGAGAGGAUGGCGGAAUUCCCAGUGUAGAGGUGAAAUUCGUAGAUAUUGGGAAGAACACCGGUGGCGAAGGCGGCCAUCUGGCCCAUUUUUGACGCUGAGGCGCGAAAGCGUGGGGAGCAAACAGG